ACCUAGGGCCAUAUCACCUUGAACACGGUUGAUCUUGUCUGAUCUCUGAAGAUAAGCAGGCUCGGGCCUGGUUAGUCCUUGAAUGGGAGAAUUAUAGUGUUGAAGUUA
rnacentral:rRNA from 1 species